rnacentral:rRNA from 1 species
AAACCAACAGGGAUUGCCUCAGUAACGGCGAGUGAAGCGGCAACAGCUCAAAUUUGAAAUCUGUCUCUUUUAGAGUCCGAAUUGUAAUUUGUAGAGGAUGUUUCGAGCAUGGUCCAGUCUAAGUUCCUUGGAACAGGACGUCAUAGAGGGUGAGAAUCCCGUAUGUGACUGGGUGCCUAAGUUCAUGUGAAACUCCUUCGACGAGUCGAGUUGUUUGGGAAUGCAGCUCAAAAUGGGUGGUAAAUUUCAUCUAAAGCUAAAUAUUGGCCAGAGACCGAUAGCGCACAAGUAGAGUGAUCGAAAGAUGAAAGGCACUUUGGAAAGAGAGUUAAACAGUACGUGAAAUUGUUGAAAGGGAAGCGCUUGCAACCAGACUUGCAUAUAGUUGAUCAUCCGGCGUUUUCACCGGUGCACUCGAUUAUGUUCAGGCCAGCAUCGGUUUUGGUGGUUGGAUAAAGGCCUUGGGAAUGUAGCUUCUUUCGGGGAGUGUUAUAGCCCUCGGUGCAAUGCAGCCUACCGGGACCGAGGACCGCGCUUCGGCUAGGAUGCUGGCGUAAUGGUUGUAAGCGAC